AAACCAGCACCUCAAGUGGUCAGGAUGAUUAUUGGGCCUAAAGCAUCCGUAGCCGGCUCUGUAAGUUUUCGGUUAAAUCUGUACGCUCAACGUACAGGCUGCUGGGAAUACUGCAGAGCUAGGGAGUGGGAGAAGUAGACGGUACUCGGGAGGAAGUGGUAAAAUGCUUUGAUCUCUCGAUGACCACCUGUGGCGAAGGCGGUCUACCAGAACACGUUCGACGGUGAGGGAUGAAAGCUGGGGGAGCAAACCGGAUUAGAAACCCCGGUAGUCC
rnacentral:rRNA from 1 species